GACAGAGGGGGCAAGCGUUGCCCGGAAUUACUGGGCGUAAAGGGCGCGUAGGCGGGAUGGCAAGUCGGUCGUGAAAUCCCUCGGCUCAACCGAGGAACGUCGAUCGAUACUGCUGUUCUUGAGGAUUGCAGAGGAGACUGGAAUUCCCGGUGUAGCGGUGAAAUGUGUAGAGAUCGGGAGGAACACCGGUGGCGAAGGCGGGUCUCUGGGCAAUUCCUGACGCUGAGGCGCGAAAGCGUGGGGAGCAAACGGG
rnacentral:rRNA from 1 species